GGAGAGGUGGCUGAGUGGCUUAAAGCGACGGUUUGCUAAACCGUUUAGCGGGCUUCAACCUGCUACGGGGGUUCGAAUCCCCCCCUCUCCG
rnacentral:tRNA from 1 species